UACGUAGGUGGCAAGCGUUGUCCGGAAUUAUUGGGCGUAAAGCGCGCGCAGGCGGUCCUUUAAGUCUGAUGUGAAAGCCCACGGCUCAACCGUGGAGGGUCAUUGGAAACUGGGGGACUUGAGUGCAGAAGAGGAAAGCGGAAUUCCACGUGUAGCGGUGAAAUGCGUAGAGAUGUGGAGGAACACCAGUGGCGAAGGCGGCAUCCUGGACCGGUAUUGACGCUGAGGCGCGAAAGCCAGGGGAGCAAACGGG
rnacentral:rRNA from 1 species